rnacentral:rRNA from 1 species
AACGAACGCUGGCGGCAGGCCUAACACAUGCAAGUCGAACGCCCCGCAAGGGGAGUGGCAGACGGGUGAGUAACACGUGGGAACCUUCCCUAUAGUACGGAAUAGCCCAGGGAAACUUGGAGUAAUACCGUAUACGCCCGAAAGGGGAAAGAUUUAUCGCUAUAGGAUGGGCCCGCGUAGGAUUAGCUAGUUGGUGAGGUAAUGGCUCACCAAGGCGACGAUCUUUAGCUGGUUUGAGAGAACGACCAGCCACACUGGGACUGAGACACGGCCCAGACUCCUACGGGAGGCAGCAGUGGGGAAUAUUGGACAAUGGGCGCAAGCCUGAUCCAGCCAUGCCGCGUGAGUGAUGAAGGCCUUAGGGUUGUAAGGCUCUUUUGGCGGGGACGAUAAUGACGGUACCCGCAGAAUAAGUCCCGGCUAACUUCGUGCCAGCCGCCGCCGUAAAAC